rnacentral:rRNA from 1 species
CCCGAGUAGCAGCGGGCCCGUGAAAUCUGCUGUGAAUCUGUCGGGACCACCCGAUAAGCCUGAAUACUCCCUGGUGACCGAUAGCGGACUAGUACCGUGAGGGAAAGGUGAAAAGUACCCCGGGAGGGGAGUGAAAUAGUACCUGAAACCGUGCGCUUACAAUCCGUCGGAGCCUUCGAGCAGUUUGGUCUGCUGGGGGUGACGGCGUGCCUUUUGAAGAAUGAGCCUGCGAGUUAGUGGCAUGUCGCGAGGUUAACCCGUGUGGGGUAGUCGUAGCGAAAGCGAGUCCGAACAGGGCGUAUCAGUGGCAUGUUCUAGACCCGAAGCGGAGUGAUCUACCCAUGGCCAGGGUGAAGCGACGGUAAGACGUCGUGGAGGCCCGAACCCACUUAGGUUGAAAACUGAGGGGAUGAGCUGUGGGUAGGGGUGAAAGGCCAAUCAAACUCCGUGAUAGCUGGUUCUCCCCGAAAUGCAUUUAGGUGCAGCGUCGCGUGUUUCUCACCGGAGGUAGAGCUACUGGAUGGUCUAGGGGGCCCACAAGCUUACCGAAAUCAGCCAAACUCCGAAUGCCGGUGAGUGAGAGCGCGGCAGUGAGACUGCGGGGGAUAAGCUUCGUAGUCGAGAGGGAAACAGCCCAGAUCGCCGGCUAAGGCCCCUAAGCGUGUACUAAGUGGAAAAGGAUGUGGGAUCGCUGAGACAACCAGGAGGUUGGCUUAGAAGCAGCCACCCUUGAAAGAGUGCGUAAUAGCUCACUGGUCAAGUGGUUCUGCGCCGACAAUGUAGCGGGGCUCAAGUACACCGCCGAAGCCGCGGCACUCACACAACACCCACUCGUUUCUGCGGAGACGGGUGCAGUGGUGUGGGUGGGUAGGGGAGCGUCGUGCCGCCGGGGAAGCGCCGGAGUGAUCCAGGUGUGGAGGCGGCGCGAGUGAGAAUGCAGGCAUGAGUAGCGAAAGACGAGUGAGAAACUCGUCCGCCGAAUGACCAAGGGUUCCUGGGCCAGGUUAAUCCGCCCAGGGUGAGUCGGGACCUAAGGCGAGGCCGACAGGCGUAGUCGAUGGACAACGGGUUGAUAUUCCCGUACCCGUGUGAACGCGCCCCUGGUGAAUCA